rnacentral:rRNA from 1 species
UGGGGAAUAUUGCACAAUGGGCGAAAGCCUGAUGCAGCGACGCCGCGUGAGUGAAGAAGUAUUUCGGUAUGUAAAGCUCUAUCAGCAGGGAAGAUAAUGACAGUACCUGACUAAGAAGCCCCGGCUAACUACGUGCCAGCAGCGCGGUAAUACGUAGGGGGCAAGCGUUAUCCGGAUUUACUGGGUGUAAAGGGAGCGUAGGUGGCUAGGUAAGUCAGGUGUGAAAGCCCGGGGCUCAACCCCGGGAUUGCACUUGAAACUACUUAGCUAGAGUGCAGGAGAGGUAAGUGGAAUUCCUAGUGUAGCGGUGAAAUGCGUAGAUAUUAGGAGGAACACCAGUGGCGAAGGCGGCUUACUGGACUUUAACUGACACUGAGGCUCGAAAGCGUGGGGAGCAAACA